rnacentral:rRNA from 1 species
GAACGCUGGCGGCGUGCUUAACACAUGCAAGUCGAACGGAAAGGCCCUGCUUUUGUGGGGUGCUCGAGUGGCGAACGGGUGAGUAACACGUGAGUAACCUGCCCUUGACUUUGGGAUAACUUCAGGAAACUGGGGCUAAUACCGGAUAGGAGCUCCUGCUGCAUGGUGGGGGUUGGAAAGUUUCGGCGGUUGGGGAUGGACUCGCGGCUUAUCAGCUUGUUGGUGGGGUAGUGGCUUACCAAGGCUUUGACGGGUAGCCGGCCUGAGAGGGUGACCGGCCACAUUGGGACUGAGAUACGGCCCAGACUCCUACGGGAGGCAGCAGUGGGGAAUAUUGCACAAUGGGCGGAAGCCUGAUGCAGCAACGCCGCGUGCGGGAUGACGGCCUUCGGGUUGUAAACCGCUUUCGCCUGUGACGAAGCGUGAGUGACGGUAAUGGGUAAAGAAGCACCGGCUAACUACGUGCCAGCAGCCGCGGUGAUACGUAGGGUGCGAGCGUUGUCCGGAUUUAUUGGGCGUAAAGGGCUCGUAGGUGGUUGAUCGCGUCGGAAGUGUAAUCUUGGGGCUUAACCCUGAGCGUGCUUUCGAUACGGGUUGACUUGAGGAAGGUAGGGGAGAAUGGAAUUCCUGGUGGAGCGGUGGAAUGCGCAGAUAUCAGGAGGAACACCAGUGGCGAAGGCGGUUCUCUGGGCCUUUCCUGACGCUGAGGAGCGAAAGCGUGGGGAGCGAACAGGCUUAGAUACCCUGGUAGUCCACGCUGUAAACGGUGGGUACUAGGUGUGGGGUCCAUUCCACGGGUUCCGUGCCGUAGCUAACGCUUUAAGUACCCCGCCUGGGGAGUACGGCCGCAAGGCUAAAACUCAAAGGAAUUGACGGGGCCCCGCACAAGCGGCGGAGCAUGCGGAUUAAUUCGAUGCAACGCGUAGAACCUUACCUGGGUUUGACAUGGAUCGGGAGUGCUCAGAGAUGGGUGUGCCUCUUUUGGGGUCGGUUCACAGGUGGUGCAUGGCUGUCGUCAGCUCGUGUCGUGAGAUGUUGGGUUAAGUCCCGCAACGAGCGCAACCCUUGUUCACUGUUGCCAGCACGUUAUGGUGGGGACUCAGUGGAGACCGCCGGGGUCAACUCGGAGGAAGGUGGGGAUGACGUCAAGUCAUCAUGCCCCUUAUGUCCAGGGCUUCACGCAUGCUACAAUGGCUGGUACAGAGAGUGGCGAGCCUGUGAGGGUGAGCGAAUCUCGGAAAGCCGGUCUCAGUUCGGAUUGGGGUCUGCAACUCGACCUCAUGAAGUCGGAGUCGCUAGUAAUCGCAGAUCAGCAACGCUGCGGUGAAUACGUUCCCGGGGCUUGUACACACCGCCCGUCAAGUCAUGAAAGUUGGUAACACCCGAAGCCGGUGGCCUAACCGUUGUGGGGGAGCCGUCGAAGGUGGGACUGGUGAUUA